CCUACGGGUGGCAGCAGUGGGGAAUAUUGGACAAUGGGGGGAACCCUGAUCCAGCCAUGCCGCGUGUGUGAAGAAGGCCCUCGGGUUGGAAAGCACUUUCAGUGAGGAAGAACGCCUGGUGGUUAAUACCCAUCAGGAAAGACAUCACUCACAGAAGAAGCACCGGCUAACUCCGUGCCAGCAGCCGCGGUAAUACGGAGGGUGCGAGCGUUAAUCGGAAUUACUGGGCGUAAAGCGCGCGUAGGUGGCUUGAUAAGCCGGUUGUGAAAGCCCCGGGCUCAACCUGGGAACGGCAUCCGGAACUGUCAAGCUAGAGUGCAGGAGAGGAAGGUAGAAUUCCCGGUGUAGCGGUGAAAUGCGUAGAGAUCGGGAGGAAUACCAGUGGCGAAGGCGGCCUUCUGGACUGAAACUGACACUGAGGUGCGAAAGCGUGGGUAGCAAACAGGAUUAGAUACCCUAGUAGUC
rnacentral:rRNA from 1 species